rnacentral:rRNA from 1 species
AGCGAACGCUGGCGGCAGGCCUAACACAUGCAAGUCGAACGAACUCUUCGGAGUUAGUGGCGGACGGGUGAGUAACACGUGGGAACGUGCCUUUAGGUUCGGAAUAACUCAGGGAAACUUGUGCUAAUACCGAAUGUGCCCUUCGGGGGAAAGAUUUAUCGCCUUUAGAGCGGCCCGCGUCUGAUUAGCUAGUUGGUGAGGUAAAGGCUCACCAAGGCGACGAUCAGUAGCUGGUCUGAGAGGAUGAUCAGCCACAUUGGGACUGAGACACGGCCCAAACUCCUACGGGAGGCAGCAGUGGGGAAUCUUGCGCAAUGGGCGAAAGCCUGACGCAGCCAUGCCGCGUGAAUGAUGAAGGUCUUAGGAUUGUAAAAUUCUUUCACCGGGGACGAUAAUGACGGUACCCGGAGAAGAAGCCCCGGCUACUUCGUG